AGUGAACGCUGGCGGUAGGCCUAACACAUGUAAGUCGAACGGCAGCACAGUAAGAGCUUGCUCUUACGGGUGGCGAGUGGCGGACGGGUGAGGAAUACAUCGGAAUCUACUUUUUCGUGGGGGAUAACGUAGGGAAACUUACGCUAAUACCGCAUACGACCUACGGGUGAAAGCAGGGGAUCUUCGGACCUUGCGCGAUUGAAUGAGCCGAUGUCGGAUUAGCUAGUUGGCGGGGUAAAGGCCCACCAAGGCGACGAUCCGUAGCUGGUCUGAGAGGAUGAUCAGCCACACUGGAACUGAGACACGGUCCAGACUCCUACGGGAGGCAGCAGUGGGGAAUAUUGGACAAAGGGCGCAAGCCUGAUCCAGCCAUGCCGCGUGGGUGAAGAAGGCCUUCGGGUUGUAAAGCCCUUUUGUUGGGAAAGAAAAGCAGCAGGUUAAUACCCCGCUGUUCUGACGGUACCCAAAGAAUAAGCACCGGCUAACUUCGUG
rnacentral:rRNA from 1 species